rnacentral:lncRNA from 1 species
UCCUGAUUAUCCUCCUCUGGGAUUAGUACAUCCUGUUCACACAACUCUAGUCCUUCUCAGACUGGAAGUCUAGUUCACAAAGGAAUGGUUUCUAUGGGAGAUAUGGCAAAGCACUUUGGGCUUUUUAUGACAAGGGGAUAGGAAGGAAAGAAAGGAGAGAGGGGCAGGAGAGAAGACAUUUGGCAUCCAGGUGAUUCUGGUCACUAUGCCCUUCUCAGACACAGUUGCUGUGUGUGUCCUCUUCCUGUCAAAAGUUGGCAGGAGCCUCCAAGGAGCACCCAGGGAAUCACAUGCAUCUUGGGAGUGAAGAAGGAUAGAACAGCACUGCACAGAGGAAGUGGUACCAAAGCAUACCUGGACUUCGCACGUAGAGACUCCAGUCACCUGGCACUGUUUCCCAGUCUCUUUCUGGGCUCCCUCACAGGGAGAAAAUGGCAUUUCAGGAAUGGAGAUACACAAAGAGGUGGAGAAGAAAGAAAAUGGGGGAGAUUUCAAAAACAGACUCUAUUUCAAGAUGCAUCCAGAGUCUCAUCCAGAGACUCAUUCUGAGUCUCAACCAAGAGAGAAGUAGGGAGAGAGACUGAAGAACUGUGUUGGUAAAAGACUCCCAGCCUCUGGACACCAAUUUUGACCCUUCAGGGCCUCCAUAACUGAGAUGGGGGAGGAGGUCUGACCACUCCUGCCUGAAACUCCACUAAGCUGGCACCAAUGCACAAAAGAGGCAUCUCUUAGUGGGUAGCAGUGCACUAGUGGCACUGGAACAGAAGAGAGCUGUGCUACUGAGCAUGUGUGAGACAUACACUCAGAAUCUCUAGGAGACAGACCCUGAGGAAGAUCUGAAGUCCAGGUGAGCAAGAGAGGGUGGGAUUUGUCUCAGAAUGGGCACUGUUAUGGUUUAGACACAGACUGUCCAAGAGUCUCCUGUGUUCAGGCUUGGAGCUUCUGGAGAUGAUUGGAUCAUGGAGGUGCUGUACCCAUCAGUGGAUUAAUCUGAUGAAUCCACAGCUGAACGUGCUAUUUGGAGAUGGAUCCUGGUCAGAAAAG